rnacentral:rRNA from 1 species
GACGAACGCUGGCGGCGUGCUUAACACAUGCAAGUCGAGCGGUAAGGCCCUUUCGGGGGUACACGAGCGGCGAACGGGUGAGUAACACGUGGGUGACCUGCCCUCAGCUCUGGGAUAAGCCUGGGAAACCGGGUCUAAUACCGGAUAUGACUCCAUGACGCAUGUUGUGGGGUGGAAAGCCUUGUGCGGCUGAGGAUGGGCCCGCGGCCUAUCAGCUUGUUGGUGGGGUGANGGCCUACCAAGGCGACGACGGGUAGCCGGCCUGAGAGGGCGACCGGCCACACUGGGACUGAGACACGGCCCAGACUCCUACGGGAGGCAGCAGUGGGGAAUCUUGCGCAAUGGGCGAAAGCCUGACGCAGCGACGCCGCGUGAGGGAUGACGGCCUGGUGUAA